AACGAACGCUGGCGGCAUGCCUAACACAUGCAAGUCGAACGAGACCUUCGGGUCUAGUGGCGCACGGGUGCGUAACGCGUGGGAACCUGCCCUUAGGUUAGGAAUAACUCCCCGAAAGGGGUGCUAAUACCGGAUAAUGUCUUCGGACCAAAGAUUUUUCGCGUUUGGAUGGGCCCGCGUUGGAUUAGCUAGUUGGUAGGGUAAAAGCCUACCAAGGCGACGAUCCAUAGCUGGUCUGAGAGGAUGACCAGCCACACUGGGACUGAGACACGGCCCAGACUGCUACGGAAGGCAGCAGAGGGGAAUAUUGGACGAUGAGCGAAAGCCUGAUCCAGCAAUGCCGCGUGAGUGAGGAAGGCCUUAGUGUUGUAAAGCUCUUUUACCCGGGAUGAUAAUGACAGUACCGGGAGAAUAAGCUCCGGCUAACUCCGUG
rnacentral:rRNA from 1 species